rnacentral:rRNA from 1 species
CCUACGGGAGGCAGCAGUGGGGGAUAUUGCACAAUGGGGGAAACCCUGAUGCAGCGACGCCGCGUGUGGGAAGACGGUCCUCUGGAUUGUAAACCACUGUCCCCAGGGACGAAAAUGACGGUACCUGGGGAGGACGCUCCGGCUAACUACGUUCCAGCAGCCGCGGUAAUACGUAGGGAGCGAGCGUUGUCCGGAAUUACUGGGUGUAAAGGGAGCGUAGGCGGGGAUGCAAGUUGGGUGUCAAAACUACCGGCUCAACUGGUAGUCGCACUCAGAACUGCAGCUCUUGAGUGAAGUAGAGGCAGGCGGAAUUCCUAGUGUAGCGGUGAAAUGCGUGGAUAUUAGGAGGGACGCCAGUGGCGAAGGCGGCCUGCUGGGCUUUUACUGACGCUGAGGCUCGAAAGUGUGGGGAGCAAACAGGAUUAGAUACCCUUGUAGUG